UGAGGAACAUGACCUUCGGCGGGGGAUAGCCGGCCCAACGGCCGGGUAAUACCGCGUACGACCACUUUGGGACAUCCCUCGGUGGUGAAAGCAGCAAUGCGCCGAUGGAGUGCCUCGCGGCCUAUCAGCUAGUUGGUGAGAUAACGGCCCACCAAGGCGACGACGGGUAGCCGGCCUGAGAGGGCGACCGGCCACACUGGGACUGAGACACGGCCCAGACCUCCGUACGGGGAGGCAG
rnacentral:rRNA from 1 species